UGCUCCUAGUACGAGAGGACCGGAGUGGACGCAUCACUGGUGUUCGGGUUGUCAUGCCAAUGGCACUGCCCGGUAGCUAAAUGCGGAAGAGAUAAGUGCUGAAAGCAUCUAAGCACGAAACUUGCCCCGAGAUGAGUUCUCCCUGAGACUUAGAGUCUCCUGAAGGAACGUUGAAGACGACGACGUUGAUAGGCCGGGUGUGUAAGCGCAGCGAUGCGUUGAGCUAACCGGUACUAAUGAACCGUGAGGCUUAACCUUACAACGCCGAAG
rnacentral:rRNA from 6 species